rnacentral:rRNA from 1 species
GACGAACGCUGGCGGCGUGCUUAACACAUGCAAGUCGAACGGAAAGGCCCUGCUUUUGUGGGGUGCUCGAGUGGCGAACGGGUGAGUAACACGUGAGUAACCUGCCCUUGACUUUGGGAUAACUUCAGGAAACUGGGGCUAAUACCGGAUAGGAGCUCCUGCUGCAUGGUGGGGGUUGGAAAGUUUCGGCGGUUGGGGAUGGACUCGCGGCUUAUCAGCUUGUUGGUGGGGUAGUGGCUUACAAAGGCUUUGACGGGUAGCCGGCCUGAGAGGGUGACCGGUCACAUUGGGACUGAGAUACGGCCCAGACUCCUACGGGAGGCAGCAGUGGGGAAUAUUGCACAAUGGGCGGAAGCCUGAUGCAGCAACGCCGCGUGCGGGAUGACGGCCUUCGGGUUGUAAACCGCUUUCGCCUGUGACGAAGCGUGAGUGACGGUAAUGGGUAAAGAAGCACCGGCUAACUACGUG